CACACAAGAAGGAAUAAAUAAUAAUACUCAAUUAAUCAAUUACUUGUAACAAGGAUUCACCUCCCUUUAGAACUGAAUAAAAAGAACUAGCCUGACAUGCUCUUGAGUCUGCACUCCAAUAGAUGAUAGUUGAUAAUUGAAUGAAUAAAACCCUGACUCUCAUCCUCUAUUUAUAGUGCUAGACAAAGUCCUAAAUCCUAUAGGAAGUAGAAAUCCAAAUCCUAAAAGGAAUUACAAAUCAUAACUAGUUUCCAUAAAGAAAUAGAAUUCAAUUUGGAAAUAAAUCUUAGUCUAAAGGAAAUCCUAAAGCUAAUAGAAAUAUCAAUCCAAUUCCAUGUAGAAGUCUACCAAAAUCUGCAUUUAGAAACUUUCCAAAAAUCCAAGAUUUCCUGAUUUUCCCGCUCAAAUUCGCUGGGGUGAAUUUUCAUUUCCUGCUGCGACGUCCUUUGGUAAAACGGGCAUAACUUUUAAUCCAGGAGGAGUUACGGGGUCUGCUACCUAUCAAAACGAAGAUAUCGACGAGAUCUACAACUUUUAUUCUUUGAGAAUCGACAGAAUCGCUCUGAAUAAAGGUCAAAAUCGGGCUCCAAAUGACUGCUGUGUAAAUUACAACUUCCAAACUUUGAGGUUCAACGUCCGUUUAGUAAAAAUAUCAUAACUUUUUCAUAUGAACUCCGAUUGGGACGAUUCAAGAUGUUCCGGAAAGCUAAAGAAGAGCUCUACAAUAAAAUUCAAGUCCCAAGCUAAGAACAUGCAUCCAACUUAAU
rnacentral:lncRNA from 1 species